UCCAGCACGGACCGCCGAGAUUGGAGC
rnacentral:sRNA from 1 species